GACGAACGCUGGCGGCGUGCUUAACAAAUGCAAGUCGAACGGAGUGGCGAACGGGUGAGUAACACGUGGGUGAUCUGCCUUGCACUCUGGGAUAAGCUUGGGAAACUGGGUCUAAUACCGGAUAGUGCAAGAUGAGCUCGCGGCCUAUCAGCUUGUUGGUGGGGUAAUGGCCUUCCAAGGCGUCGACGGGUAGCCGGCCUUAGAGGGUGUACGGCCAAAUUGGGACUGUGAUACGGCCCAGACUUCUACGGGAUGCAGCAGUGGGGAAUAUUGCACAAUGGGCGGAAGCCUGAUUUAGCGACGCCGCGUGGGGGAUGACGGCCUUCGGGUUGUAAACUCCUGUCGACAGGGACGCGGUACCUGUAUAAGAAGCACCGGCUAACUACGUGUCAGCAGCCGCGGUAAUUC
rnacentral:rRNA from 1 species